AGCGAACGCUGGCGGCAGGCCUAACACAUGCAAGUCGAACGAACUCUUCGAAGUUAGUGGCGGACUGGUGAGUAGCACGGUGGAACGUGCCUUUUGGUUCGGCAUAACUCAGGGGAACUUGUGCUAAUACCGAAUGUGCCCUUCCGUGGGAAGAUUGAUCGCGAGUGGAGCGUCUCGCGUCUUAUUACCUUGUUGGUGAGGUAACUGCGCACCAAGACUUCGAGCAGUAGCGGGGAUGAGAGGAUAACUCCCCACACUGGGACUGAGGCACGGCCCAGACUCCUACGCGAAGCAGCAGUGGGGAAUCUUGCGAAAUGGGCGGAAGGCAGAAGCAGCUAGGACGGGUGAAUGAUGAAGGUUUUAGGAUAGUAAAAUUAUUUAACCCGGGACGAUAAUGACGGUACCAGCAGAAGAAGCCCCGGCUAACUUCGUG
rnacentral:rRNA from 1 species